rnacentral:tRNA from 1 species
GGGCUUGUGGUCUAGCGGUAUGACAUCUUCUUAGCAUCUGGCGCUUUCAAGCGUGGAUACUGAGAUGGAGAAGGUUCCGCGUUCGACUCGCGGCUAGUCCA